GGGCCCGCACAAGCAGUGGAGUAUGUGGUUUAAUUCGAAGCAACGCGAAGAACCUUACCAGGUCUUGACAUCUGCCGAAUCCGGAAGAGAUUCCGGAGUGCCCUUCGGGGAGCGGCAAGACAGGUGGUGCAUGGUUGUCGUCAGCUCGUGUCGUGAGAUGUUGGGUUAAGUCCCGCAACGAGCGCAACCCUUGUGAUUAGUUGCUACGCAAGAGCACUCUAAUCAGACUGCCGUUGACAAAACGGAGGAAGGUGGGGACGACGUCAAAUCAUCAUGCCCCUUAUGACCUGGGCUACACACGUACUACAAUGGCCGUCAACAGAGGGAAGCAAGACCGCGAGGUGGAGCAAACCCCUAAAAACGGUCUCAGUUCGGAUCGCAGGCUGCAACCCGCCUGCGUGAAGCUGGAAUUGCUAGUAAUCGCGGAUCAUCAUGCCGCGGUGAAUACGUUCCCGGGCCUU
rnacentral:rRNA from 1 species